rnacentral:rRNA from 1 species
UAGGGAAUCUUCCGCAAUGGACGCAAGUCUGACGGAGCAACGCCGCUUGAGUGAAGAAGGAUUUCGGUUCGUAAAACUCUGUUGUUAGAGAAGAACAGCGCAUAGAGUAACUGUUAUGCGUGUGACGGUAUCUAACCAGAAAGCCACGGCUAACUACGUGCCAGCAGCCGCGGUAAUACGUAGGUGGCAAGCGUUGUCCGGAUUUAUUGGGCGUAAAGCGAGCGCAGGCGGUCAAUUAAGUCUGAUGUGAAAGCCCCCGGCUCAACCGGGGAGGGUCAUUGGAAACUGGUUGACUUGAGUGCAGAAGAGGAGAGUGGGAUUCCAUGUGUAGCGGUGAAAUGCGUAGCUAUAUGGGUGAACACCAGUAGCGAAGGCGACUCUCUAGUCUGUAACUGACACAGAGGCUCGAAAGCGUGGGUAGCGGACAGG